UUUCACCUUAACGUGUAAAGAUGGUCAAGUGCCUGAGAAUAAGAGCUGUUACUAUCCUCCGCUUCGACUUUUAACUCUCCCUGUCAGCCUGUGAGACUCGACACUUUAAUCAGACUUUGCCAUUACCCCCUAGCCUCGCUCACAAUGGUACAGUCCGGGCGCUGGCCGCUCGCCAGGAGUCGGAGCCCGGCGCACGCGAGCUCCGCCAAGAGUGGGGGGCGGAUGGCGAUUGGCUGAUCCCGGUUGCCGGAGCCGAGCCUGCGUCUUUUGUCUGCCCUGCUCCAGCUGAGGAGCGGAGACGGCUGCGCGCCCCAAGCGAGCCAAUCAGAAGAUAGCCGGCGCCGGCCGAAAUGGAUGAAAAUUUUCUUCUGUGCUCUGAAUAUAGUGUAUGAUCUCAGGGUUCUCUGUGCCAGCAGACUCUGUCUGGAACUCAGCCAAAAGUUCUUCAUGAUUAAAGCCUAGCUCUCCCAGCCUCUCCCUGGCUUCUGACUGCUGGGUCUCAACCUCAUGAUUAUGUUCUUGUGGAAUUCACUGCAGGCUUUAUUCCCCAACCACAACUGAAACGCAUCCCUUGGAUUAAGUCUUCUUUUCCAAGACAAUAGAGGAAUUGAGCCCAGAAUCCUAGCUCGAUAUGGGGCUUUGCGGUUGCUGUUUCUGCAGUGUUCGCCUAGGACCCUGAAAAUAAGAACCAGGCUGUGCCCAUCUCACCCGUGAAUUGCUUCGUCUCUGAAAUGUUUAACUCAAUAAUGGACCACUAAGACGUGUCUGUUUUGUUGAGGUUUUUUUUUUUUUUCUCUGACCAAGUUAUAUAUUGGGAAAAAUGAUUAUACCCUAGUACCACUUCAGCCAGUUCUAUCUGACAAUCUGUAUGUGCCUUAAGCCCAGAAGCUCUAAAUAUGGCCUUAUUUGAAAAUGAAGUCUUCAAAGGUGGAAGAAAAGAUCUGCAAAGAGAUUAUCACAGAUUUAAGGUGGGUUCUCCAUCCAGUAACAAAGGUCAUUAUAAGAAAUGAAGAAGUGGGGGUUGGGGAUUUGGCUCAGUGGUAGAGCACUUGCCUAGGAAGCACAAGGUCCUGGGUUCGAUCCCCAGCCCCGAAAAAAAAGAAAAAAGAAAAAAAAAAAAAAGAAGAAGAAGUGGGGUUGGGGAUUUAGCUCAGUGGUAGAGCGCGUGCCUAGGAAGCACAAGGUCCUGGGUUCGAUCCCCAGCCCCGAAAAAAAGAACCAAAAAAAAAAAAAAAAGAAAGAAAGAAAGAAAUGAAGAAGUAUAUCUGAGACACAGCCAUAGAUGAGAGGCUGUUGGAAGACAAUAGCAGGGAUUGGAGAAAUAGCUCUACAAGCCAGAAAUCACUAAGUUACUAAGUACAUGCAACCCCCAGAAUUUAGGAGAAGGCAUGGACUCUCUCUCAGAGUCUCCAGAAAGUGCUAAUCCUGCCUACAUCUUGGCUUUGAAUCUUUGGAUUCCAGUUAUGAGGAACUUAUAAAAGAAUAAAUUUCUAUUGUUUUAAGCCAGCCAGUUGUGGUAAGACACUAUUGCAAUCCUAGGAGAGUAAGACCACAAAUGCCAGGCCUUCUUCCUCCUCUUUUUUUUUUUUUAUGUUUUGAGACAAGCUCUAACUCUGGAGCCCAAGCUGGCUGUCCCUAGGAUGCUAGACUCACUGUAAUCUUCAUAUGUCAUUCUUCCAAGUGCCGGGAUUACAAGGAUCAACCAUCACACUCGGUUCCAUAAUUUUUAAAUAUUUCCCAUUUAAUUCAUUUGUUUAUUUUAAAUGGUUUCAUGCUUUGGGAAUGCUAGUGUUACACCUUUAAUCGCCUUACUGGGGAGUCAGGAGCAGGUGGAUCUCUGUGAGAUCAGAUUCUACACAGUGAGAUCCUUCAGGGCAAGAGGGGUGCACUUUUAUAAUAUUUUAUAAGAAAAUAAACGAGGAUGUUU